AUUUAAAUUCUCUGCCUUGGGCGCCUGGGAGUCUCAGUGGGUUAAGCUGCUGCCUUCGGCUCAGGUCAUGAUCUCAGGGUCCUGGGAUCGAGUCCCGCAUCGGGCUCUCUGCUCAGCAAGGAGCCUGCUUCCCUCUCUCUCUCUCUCUCUCUCUGCCUGCC